CAGACAUAAUCUUGUUCUUGGAAUUAGCUUUUAAUUUAUUACAAUUUAUCAUUUUAGCCAGUUCUAAUGAAAAACCCAAUGCUAAAUAACAUUACAUCAAUAAUUUAAUCAAAAUCACUCCCCAGUAUAUGUUUAUAUUUUAGUUCUGGUAUUUAAUAUCUAGGUAUGCCUAGUCUGUAAAGGCAGUGGGACACAAGGUACACACAAUUUAAGGCCAAUGCAUGUGAGGUGCUGCUGGUGGGGCCUGGAAACAUCAUGUAAUGCACAGGAUGCAAACUCAGUUGCAAAGUACUGAAAUCAAAAUCUGCUUUACUAACUUACUGUUGACAAGCUGUACAAAGCAUAGAAAUAAUAACUACAGAUAUUUUUCUUUUAUCUAUGUAACUAAUUUUGGUUAGUUUAGACUUGACAUCCCUGCUUUUUAUUUCAAAGAAGGAUCAUAAGAUUGAAAGAAAAAAGGACUAAGUCUUCAAUGAAUAUAAAACAAUAGUGAUUUAUACUGUCCUGUGAAUCUUUUUUUUUUUUUCCUGCUCUGAUUUUUACAUUUUCCCCUGAUGUUCUGACUAGCAAAAUGCCACCACCAGUUUGAAGAGAGACAAACUUAUUCCAUUAUGACACAGCAGCUAUGACAACCUCUUUUAUUGUUGCUUAAUGGUAUGUUCAAGAAUGUCAAAACAGCUUCCAAAUAUUUCUGGUUUGCUGUCUCAGGGACAUGAAAACAGCAGCUUCACAUGAAAUAUUAUUCAGAACAGCUUAAUACUUUGAGAGCAUUUCUUGGCAUUGGUUUUCAGAGGAUCCUGAGCUUGCACUCCCACACAAAUCCCAUUUUUAUCUGCCACUGCUCUGGAGAGAGGCUGAGAUGAAAAGUGUGUUGUGAAAAGGAGAUUCAGGACUGCCAUUCCCUGGAUUUAAAUUAUGAAUAACCAUGAUCCACACACCACCAACCAUCUGUCCCCAGAGCUGUGGCUUGAAGGAAAGAAGCAAGAAGGAAUGAUCAGUGACAGAACUGUGCUUGCCUGUAGCUCUGGGAUGAGGCUGUCCUGGACUCCAGGUGUGGGGGAAGAGUGUGGGCACUUUGGUUUCCACAUCCUACAAGAGAGGUAGAGGUUCUGUUUUGGGUGCAUGUUCAUCUCAGCUCUCAGUGAGGCACAGGAACAGCAAGAGCAUAUCCUGAGCCUAGGAGAUGGACCUUUGCCUAAAUCUAAUCCUGAGUCAGAUCAGAACACUGAACCCUUGACCCUGCUUCAUGCACCUGGCUUUGGUGAGUAUGGUUCUCAAGUGAGAUGAAAGAACUGUGGAACAGAAAUUCCAUGGGAAAUACAUGCCUAAUAGUAUAAAAGAGGUUAGUGUUAUUUUCAUUUCAACAGUCCUUGAUGGAUUUUCCUUUGUUAGGUUAAGAAAUGAAUAUUGGCAUUUCCCUGUUCCCUUUACCUGAUUCAAGUGCCUUGUGGGUUAUAUAAAAGAUCAGGAGUAGUAUUUUCCAGGUCAGUAGUUAAAUACUGCUCUGGUUCUAGUUGUAUUUUUCCAUAUUCUAUCAGCAGGAAAAUUUAUCCCAGAAGAGAACAAACAGAAAUAUGACAGAAAGAACUUACUUACUGUCUGGUAUGCACCUUGCUUAUCUCCCUUUUUUUUUUUUUCCUUUUUUUUUUUUUUUUUUAAGAAUGAUAUGCUAUAGAGUGACACCACUUUGAACAUGUUUUCCCAUCACUGCUCUACCAGCUCUCAAAACUGCUUUUGUUUGGAUAUUGUUAUUAUCUGCUAGACACUGAUAGGAAUGUGGAGUCACUCACUGAGAAAGGGAAACAUGGUUCUCAUUCAGAAGGAAUGCAGCUUCAGCCAUGCUGUCUACAGCUCUGUUCUAUUUGAUGUCGAGCCGCGGGAUCUUGUGGCAGUAAAAAUCAUUGUGAUUUAUAGGAAAAUGUCACUCCGGCUGUCUCCUCUAUAAAAUCUUUUUACUACUCUUAUUGAAUAUAAAUCAGAAUUAUUUGUCCAACAAUAUCAUAGUUUUGGCAAAAUGUUGUGAAGACAAAAAAUAAUCAUGUUCAAAUUGCCUUGGCUUUAUUCUACAGAGAGAUAUUACUGGAAUCUAUUGCCUUGCCAAGAUCA
ensembl:lncRNA